UACGUAGGGCGCAAGCGUUGUCCGGAAUUAUUGGGCGUAAAGAGCUCGUAGGCGGCUUGUCACGUCGGAUGUGAAAGCCCGGGGCUUAACCCCGGGUCUGCAUUCGAUACGGGCAGGCUAGAGUGUGGUAGGGGAGAUUGGAAUUCCUGGUGUAGCGGUGAAAUGCGCAGAUAUCAGGAGGAACACCGAUGGCGAAGGCAGGUCUCUGGGCCACUACUGACGCUGAGAAGCGAAAGCAUGGGGAGCGAACAGG
rnacentral:rRNA from 1 species